rnacentral:rRNA from 1 species
GACAGAGGGUGCAAGCGUUGUUCGGAAUUAUUGGGCGUAAAGGGCGCGUAGGCGGCCUCGUAAGUCAACUGUGAAAUCCCAGGGCUUAACCCUGGAAGUGCAGCUGAUACUGCUUGGCUUGAGUGCCGGAGAGGGUGGUGGAAUUCCCAGUGUAGAGGUGAAAUUCGUAGAUAUUGGGAGGAACACCGGUGGCGAAGGCGACCACCUGGACGGACACUGACGCUGAGGCGCGAAAGCGUGGGGAGCAAACAGGG